GUGCAUCAUGAUCGUACCGGUGCUUCGCAAGAAGCAUAAUCGGGAAUGCGGUGCGGGAAUAUCUUCCCAAAUCCGCAGCUGUCCCUGCAACUGUAAGCGGAUAGUGCGAUGCGCAGGCCCUGUCAUCCAGGGCAGCCACUGGACAGGCCGAUUGCCGAUCCGGGAAGGCGUGCAUCAAGCGACGACCCGUGAGCCAGGAGACCGGCCGGUGCGCUGUUCGCUCU
rnacentral:ncRNA from 2 species